AGAGUUUGAUCCUGGCUCAGGAUGAACGCUGGCGGCAUGCCUAAUACAUGCAAGUCGAACGGGAUAUCUUCGGAUAUCCAGUGGCGAACGGGUGAGUAACACGUAGGUAACCUGCCCAUGUGCCCGGGAUAACGCCUGGAAACGGGUGCUAAAACCGGAUAGGUAUCGCUUCUGCAUGGAAGAGAUAUUAAAGGAGCUGCAAGGCUCUGAACAUGGAUGGACCUGCGGUGCAUUAGCUGGUUGGUGAGGUAACGGCCCACCAAGGCGACGAUGCAUAGCCGGCCUGAGAGGGUGAACGGCCACAUUGGGACUGAGGCACGGCCCAAACUCCUACGGGAGGCAGCAGUAGGGAAUUUUCGUCAAUGGGGGCAACCCUGAACGAGCAAUGCCGCGUGAGUGAGGAAGGUCUUCGGAUCGUAAAGCUCUGUUGCAGGAGAAAAACGGCAGAUAUAGGAAAUGACAUCCGAGUGAUGGUAACCUGCCAGAAAGUCACGGCUAACUACGUGCCAGCAGCCGCGGUAAUACGUAGGUGGCGAGCGUUAUCCGGAAUGAUUGGGCGUAAAGGGUGCGUAGGUGGCCUUAUAAGUCUGGAGUGAAAGGCGGCAGCUCAACUGCCGUAUGCUCUGGAAACUGUGAGGCUGGAGUGCAGGAGAGGGCGAUGGAACUCCAUGUGUAGCGGUAAAAUGCGUAGAUAUAUGGAAGAACACCAGUGGCGAAGGCGGUCGCCUGGCCUGUAACUGACACUGAAGCACGAAAGCGUGGGGAGCCAAUAGGAUUAAAUACCCUAGUAGUCCACGCCCUAAACGAUGAGAACUAAGUGUUGGGGGGAUAACUCAGUGCCCCAGUUAACCCAGUAAGUUUCCCCCCUGGGGAGUAUGCACGCAAGUGGGGAACCCAAAGGGAAUUGACGGGGGGCCCCCACAAGCGUGGGAAUAUGUGGUUUAAUUUCGAACCACCCCAAAAAACUUUCC
rnacentral:rRNA from 1 species